rnacentral:tRNA from 1 species
UCCCUGGUAGCUUAGCUGGUAAAGAAUCCUCCUGCAAUGCAGGAGACCCAGGUUCAAUUCCUGGAUUGGGAA